GGCGGCAGGCUUAACACAUGCAAGUCGAGCGGUAGCAGAUCUAGCUUGCUAGAUGCUGACGAGCGGCGGACGGGUGAGUAACGCGUAGGAACCUGCCCAGUAGUGGGGGAUAGCCCGGGGAAACUCGGAUUAAUACCGCAUACGCUCUACGGAGGAAAGAGGGGCUUCGGCUCUCGCUAUUGGAUGGGCCUGCGUGAGAUUAGCUAGUUGGUGAGGUAAUGGCUCACCAAGGCGACGAUCUCUAGCUGGUCUGAGAGGAUGAUCAGCCACACUGGGACUGAGACACGGCCCAGACUCCUACGGGAGGCAGCAGUGGGGAAUAUUGCACAAUGGGCGCAGGCCUGAUGCAGCCAUGCCGCGUGUGUGAAAAAGGCUUUCGGGUUGUAAAGCACUCUCAGUGGGGAGGAAGGCCUCGUAGUUAAUAGCUGCGAGGAUUGACGUUACCCACAGAAGAAGCACCGGCUAACUCCGUG
rnacentral:rRNA from 1 species